rnacentral:lncRNA from 1 species
CGAUUUAUUUCGCACCACAUGCGCAAGUUAGUUUUUCAGGUUGGUUUUUGAAAUUCAAUUGCAAACAGCAAAUUGAAUUGUUAUUUCUCUGCUUGCAAUUCUAUUUCUCUUUUCACUUCCUCAUCGUUGGUCUUGAAUGUUCUUUGAUUCUUUUUAUUUGUAUGUUGUUAAGGUUUAGCCACUUUUGCAUUGUCUCAACGCGGUUACCAUUCACUAUCGCUCAUCAAAGAUUUCGUGUGUUCUUUAGUUCUUCGUUCAACAAGUUUCGAAUCGGCUUAGUUUUUUAGGGUGUUUUGAUCGUUCGUAGGUGCUAGGAAUCGCGUAAUCAGGUGUGUUUCUGAAACUACUGUAAUUAGGGGUCGAUUUGAUGAUGGCUUUGUUUUCUCUUUUUCUAUCGUGAAAUAUGUGUUGUUUUUUUACUACCCGAUCUAUUGUAGAAACUUGAAAAUAAUCUGAAAACAUGUAUAGCUGUAGUAAUUAGAAUUUUGUCAAAACAUAAAGAUGUAUUUUAAAUUUUUAGCGCGAAAGGUACGCAUAAAUUACUUCUGUGGUCUGGAAUUAAUAGUUAUAAAAAAAAUAAUUAUAGGAUACAUUGCAAGUAUUAAAAGGAAUAUG